GAUGAACGCUGGCGGCGUGCCUAAUACAUGCAAGUCGAGCGAACGGACGAGAAGCUUGCUUCUCUGAUGUUAGCGGCGGACGGGUGAGUAACACGUGGAUAACCUACCUAUAAGACUGGGAUAACUUCGGGAAACCGGAGCUAAUACCGGCUAAUAUUUUGAACCGCAUGGUUCAAAAGUGAAAGACGGUCUUGCUGUCACUUAUAGAUGGAUCCGCGCUGCAUUAGCUAGUUGGUAAGGUAACGGCAUACCAAGGCAACGAUGCAUAGCCGACCUGAGAGGGUGAUCGGCCACACUGGAACUGAGACACGGUCCAGACUCCUACGGGAGGCAGCAGUAGGGAAUCUUCCGCAAUGGGCGAAAGCCUGACCGAGCAACGCCGCGUGAGUGAUGAAGGUCUUCGGAUCGUAAAGCUCUGUUAUUAGGGAAGAACAGAUGUAUAAGUAACUGUGCACAUCUUGACGGUACCUAAUCAGAAAGCCACGGCUAACUACGUG
rnacentral:rRNA from 1 species